GGGGGCGACCUGGCUUCGACGUGGGUUGCAAAACCAGAGGUGCAUGCCGAGAAUGAGAACUCUCGUAAAAAAGACUCAAACUAAAUAUAAAUGCAAACGAUGAAAACUUUGCUGGUGGGGAAGCUAUUGCUGCCUAAUAAGCACUUUAGUUAAACCAUCACUGUGUACUGGCCAAUAAACCCAGUAUCCCGUUCGACCGAGCCCGCUUAUCGGUAUCGAAUCAACGGUCAUAAGAGAUAAGCUAGUGUCCUAAUCUCUCCCGGAUUAAGAUGCGAAACUCAGGGAAUCGCUGUGUAGUAUCCUGCCCGUCGGAGAAUGCACAGUUAAAUCAAAAGACACGGCUACGCAUGUAGAGCUGAAGGCAGAGGAUUUGCGGACGCGGGUUCGAUUCCCGCCGCCUCCACCA
rfam:Legionella tucsonensis strain ATCC 49180 Ltuc_ctg001, whole genome shotgun sequence.